rnacentral:rRNA from 1 species
AGGGUUUGAUCAUGGCUCAGGACGAACGCUGGCGGUGCGCCUUAUGCAUGCAAGUCGAGCGAAGCUUUUCAGUAGUUUACUACAGAAAAUGACUGAGCGGCGAACGGGUGAGUAACGCGUGAGCAAUCUACCUUAGUUACAGGGAUAGCCCGAGGAAACUCGGAUUAAUACCUGAUAUUCUUUAUUUCUCGCAUGAGAAUAAAAGGAAAGGUCAGCCGAACUAAGAUGAGCUCGCGUUCUAUCAGCUUGUUGGUGAGGUAAAAGCUUACCAAGGCUACGACGGAUAGCUGGUCUGAGAGGACGAUCAGCCACACUGGGACUGAGACACGGCCCAGACUCCUACGGGAGGCUGCAGCAGGGAAUAUUGUGCAAUGAACGAAAGUUUGACACAGCGACACCGCGUGUGGGAUGACGGAUCUAGGUUUGUAAACCACUUUCAGGAGGGAAGAAAAUGACGGUACCUCCACAAGAAGCCCCGGCCAACUACGUGCCAGCAGCCGCGGUAAUA